UGUCUGUGAAGAUGCAGACUACCUGCACCUGGACAAAAAGAUCCUAUGAAGCUUUACUAUUCCCUAGGAUUGGCUUUGGGCCUUUCCAGAGUAGCUUAGGUAGAAAGCGAAGAAGGCCUCCUUUCGGGAGGACCCGAGCCAUCAGUGAGAUACCACUCUGGAAGGGCUAAAAUUCUAACCUUGUGUCAGGACCUACGGGCCAAGGAACAGUCUUAGGUAGACAGUUUCUAUGGGGUGUAGGCCUCCCAAAAAGUAAAGAAGGAAUGCAAAGGUUUCCUCAGGAUAGACGGAGAUUGGCCCUUGAGUCCAAAGGCAUAAGGGAUCUUGACUGCAAGACCCACCCAUCGAGCAGGGACAAAAGUCGGCUUUAGUGAUCUGACGGUACUGAGUGGAAGGGUUGUCGUUCAGUGGAUAAAAUUUACUCUAAGGAUAACAAUAUGAUCUUCCCCUAGAUCUCACAUCGAUGGGAAGGUUUGGCACCUCGAUGUCGGCUUUUCGCGACCUGGGGCUGCAGUAUGUUCCAAGGGUUGGGCUGUUCACCCAUUAAAGCGGUACGUGAGAUGGGUUCAGAAUAUCGUGAGACAAUUUGAUCCAUAUCCAGUGUUGGAUUUAGAACAUUGAGAGGACCUAUCCCUAGUACGAGAGGAUCGGGAAGGACGCACCUCUAGUGUACCAGUUAUCGUGCCCAUGGUAAAUGCUUGGUAGACAAGUGCGGAGAGGAUAACUGCUAAAAGCAUCUAAGUAGUAAGCCCACCCCAAGAUGAGUGCUCUCCUAUUUCAACUUCCCCAGAGCUUCCAGUAGCACAGCUGAGAUAGCAACAGGUUCUCUGCCCCAGCGGGGAUGGUGCUACAGAAGUUUUUUGAAAAUUCAAGAAAAGGUCACGGUGAUACGAGCCAUUUAUCAUUACGAUAGGUGUCAAGUGGAAGUGUAGUGAUGUAUGCAGCUAAGUCAUCCUAACAUACCAG
rnacentral:ncRNA from 1 species